rnacentral:rRNA from 1 species
GACAGAGGGUGCAAACGUUGCUCGGAAUCACUGGGCGUAAAGGGCGUGUAGGCGGGAAGGAAAGUCAGAUGUGAAAUCCCUGGGCUCAACCCAGGAACUGCAUUUGAAACUCCCUUUCUUGAGUGUCGGAGAGGAAAGCGGAAUUCCUGGUGUAGAGGUGAAAUUCGUAGAUAUCAGGAGGAACACCGGUGGCGAAGGCGGCUUUCUGGACGACAACUGACGCUGAGACGCGAAAGCGUGGGGAGCAAAUAGG